rnacentral:lncRNA from 1 species
GUCGCAAGAAUGGAUAUCGUUACAAGUACAUGUACUGAAAAGAAUAGAUAUAUAAAGAGUUGGCUUACACUCGCCACAAGCUACAUCAGAGUCACAUCAGUACAUUACAUAAACAUCAUGAAGAAGAGCAGGGUCCGACUACGGACGAAAACAAACGACAAAAGAAGAACGACGUCCAUCCUUGCUAUCCCAGGCUGCCGGCCUGGAACCCAUCCUAGAUCGAUGAAGAGGAAGAAGAAGAAGCAACUCCAAAUGAACAAUCAACGCGUUCGCGUCAAGUAACCUUUACCUGUACCUGCAACUGGUGUUGUAGUAAUCUGUGAGCCACAGGGGACUCAGCAAUCUCAUUUCCAAAGGUAUCAAGACUAGCAAAGCUUAAUUGGGUGAGGUAAGGUUAAGUGGUGAGGUUGCAGCAGCGGCUAAGCAAUAUAUUUGGUGGCUAAACUUACGAGUACAAGAAAUAAGAGGGAGAAGGUCUACGCAUAACGGACGUGAACUACUCAUGAUCAAAUGAAUGAUCCUGAACACAUACCUACGUCAGACAUAACCCCACCGUGUCCUCGAUCGGAGAAGGAACUCACGAAAGAGACAUUCACGGUUACGCACACAGUGAGCAUAUUUUAAUUAAGUUAACUUCAAGUUAUCUAGAACCAGUGUUAAACAAAGCUUCCAUGUUCCACAUAACCGCGGGCAUGGCUUUCCGAAAGAUUUAACCCUGCAGGGGUGCUCCAACUAGUCCAUCACAAAUUACCACAAGCCGCAUAGAAAUCCUCAAUCACGAAGCUCGCGAUCUCGACGGAUUCCCUGGUGGAAAACCUCAACUCUGAGAUUACCCAAAGCAUCACCGGAAUCCCGAUGCACAAGAUAUUUCGUCAAAGGUAAAACUAAUCCAGCAAGGCCGCCCGACGUGUCGAUGAUCCCGAUAGGAGUCGCGUACCUCGUUCUCAGGACACGACGGAUGAGCUAUGGUUACCACGCCAAACGCCGAGUUGCCCCGGGUAGCGUUAAUAAGCUGCUCUGUUUUGGACCAACACUCAUGAGGAGCACUGGCCCGGGGGUUGAUUAAAAUAGUCCGCGGGUGCCGGCGGGUCCCUAUGCAAUUUAUUAGGUGAUUAGGCAAAUGUAGUACCAAUGUUGGGCCUUGCCAG